rnacentral:lncRNA from 1 species
AUGAAGAACGCCCUUGUUGUCUGCUCCUGGACUUUGGCUGCCAUGAAUAUUGAGCUACAGGAGUUAUCCUGGGAAAUGAGGGUUCCACUAAGUCCUUCACGUGGGAAGAGCUCCUGGCCGGCGUCUGAGAGAGCCUUUGAGGCGGGGGACAGAGAUCUGCGUCUGUGCUCAUGCCACGGCGCUGACGCUAAGUCUCGCAGACCAUCGUGCGGGACAAUCGAUCUCUGGGGUCAGGGCCAAAGCAGGAAUCUUUAUGGCGCCGCCAAGCACAGACAGAUUCUACAGGACACGCAGCAUCGUCACAGAUGGCAACAAAGAUUAGCAAGUGCCACUUUGGACGUGGAGGAUUUAGCUGCCGGCGUCCUCCGGGAGACAGACAGCAAGGGCUGCCUUUCCUACUUCCACUUGUCAGUUCAUUCUCUGGAAGGGACUCUCACAACGUAUUUGCUGAGUAUUAGGUCUGCAGCUGUGUGCACCGACUGUUCCUUGAUUCUCUUCCUUAUCUUGUGCCACUCUUUGCCAGCUAAAAAAUAAAUUAGCCUGCUCACUAUUGCCUACCUUAAUCAUGAUUUUAGAGCAUUUUGUGUGGGACAAAAGCCAUCGACUUCUGAAAACUGCCUAUUUGCCUCCUUCGACCAUCUAUCAGUUGGGGAGUAGCUUACAGUCUUAGAAAUUUGACUCAGUUCUCUCUCUUUGAGAAACAAGGACUUUACCAGAGAACCUCAGGGAAAUGUCUUCCCCACUCUCCUG